rnacentral:lncRNA from 1 species
CCUAUAGCUCUGCAUGACUCUCUCUGACUGCAUCACACAGAUUGUGUUUUUUGUUGUAAGGAGUGAAAGAAAACGUGUUCUCUCCCACAGAGUGAAGAGGAAGUCGGUGAAGAAACAGUCCUCUUUGGGCAGUGCUCCAACUCUUCCAGGGACCUCCAGUGGGCCUGGGGAGCCUCAGGUUUUCCUAGGAGUUCAACCCCAGAACGGUUCUCCUCUUUUGGCCUUAGGCAUAUCCACAACCCGCCAGAAUCUAGAUGACUCUCUGGACCAGGGUCGCAUCCUCACACCCCCCUCUUUAGGGGUUGUGAAGGAGGAGCUACCUGAGCUAAGGGGGGAGGAGAGUUGCCGGUCUGAUUUUGGUUUCCCCAUCGCUGUGUUGACCCCCUACGAUGAUUUGAAGCCUUUGCCUGUCAGCAUGUCAGCCAAUGCCAACACACAUGCUCAGUCAACGACCGCGAACACACCCCCUCAGGCGAACACUCCCUCCCAGUCGUCUCUGACCGUGCUCGCUAACCAGGCGCUGGCGCAAGUCCACAUCCACAAAGACUACAUUUCCCAGGGGCACCUAGCAUUGACGCAGGACCUUUCACUCCAGAAGAACCACCCUCCUCCACCACAGAAGAAGAAGAAACGGGUUUCUGAGGUGUCUGCACGGAGCUUGCCCGCUCCGGGACACAAGCCCGCUCCGGGACACAAGCCCGCUCCGGGACACAAGCCCGCUCCGGGACACAAGCCCGCUCCGGGACACAAGCCCGCCCGGGAAGCACAAGCCCGAAUCCCGCUCGCGGACCCAAGCGCCCGCUCCGGGGACACAAGCCCGCUCCGGGACACAAGCCCGCUCCGGGACACAAGCCCGCUCCGGGACACAAGCCCGCUCCGGGACACAAGCCCGCUCCUGGUCUUCCUGGAAUCCCUCUACUCCAUGCCCUGGGUUUCCCGCUCUCCGACUUCGGUCCAGGAACCAUGGGAAUGCUGACCCAGUCACAACAUUCCAAAGACGCCCUGGUCACCGGCACCACUCCCGGAACGUUCCACCACGGACUCACGCACAGUAAGAGUGUGUGAGAUGCAUCUAUGGUUGUAUUUAGCAUUCGAGGGGAUUGGCCUGAGAAAAUGCCCUGUCAAUAUUCAAAUGGACUUCACUUUACUAGAGGCACUGUUGACAUAAAGGGAAGCUCACGCACUCUCUUCACCCUUCCGUUAGCAAAAAAGAUUGCAGAGUUGACUGCAGUCAGUGACUGCAGUGAGUGUGACUGCAGUGAGUGUGACUGCAGUGAGUGUGACUGCAGUGAGUGUGACUGCAGUGAGUGUGACUGCAGUCAGUGUGACUGCAGUGAGUGUGACUGCAGUCAGUGUGACUGCAGUCAGUGUGACUGCAGUCAGUGUGACUGCAGUCAGUGUGACUGCAGUCAGUGUGACUGCAGUCAGUGUGACUGCAGUCAGAGUGACUGCAGUCAGAGUGACUGCAGUCAGAGUGACUGCAGUCAGAGUGACUGCAGUCAGAGUGACUGCAGUCAGAGUGACUGCAGUCAGAGUGACUGCAGUCGUUUCUCUCUGCGCCUCUCAGGAAUAUGACAUUAUUUUUUAACCUUCUACCUUUUUAACCUCUCCUCUACCUCAACACCAGGCAACUAACGUGAUACCUGAUCAUCCUAAUCAUGAUAAAUCCCGUCAAUAAAUAAAUUCAUUACCUGAUCAGAUGUAUUGCUUUUUAGAUGGCAGCCAGCUGGUGGGAGAGGGACCCAACACUCAGAGAAAACUACAGUGAACAUCUAGAAUGGACACGUGCAGUAAAAAUGGGGGGGGAGACUUGUGAAAAGAAAUGGAGAACUGGAUGUAAAGGCCUAUUGAGCCUGGAAUAAUGAUCUUGGAAUGGACACCUAUAAGGCAUUGGAACUUCUGAGCCCCUGCUGAACAGAUUAGAUGGAACGCUCCUAGUCAGCAAUGGGAUGGGGUGAAACGUUUUUAAAUGGGUCACAGAGCUGCAUGUAUAUCCCUGGCUAGCACAGUGGUGUUAUGAGGAACUUACUGAAGUCAAGUGUUCUUGCCAUAUUAAAUUAUUACUGAUAGUUCGGUCAUUCAAAUCAUGUAACCACGUUGGUAGCACGUUGUAAUAAAGCAUUUAAAAUGAAA